GGCGACAUAGCUCAGCUGGGAGAGCAGCAGACUGAAGUCAAUCCGGUUCAUUACAGUUUAUCUGAAGGUCGCGCGUUCGAUCCGCGCUGUGGCCA